AGCUCCAAUAGCGUAUAUUAAAGUUGUUGCAGUUAAAAAGCUCGUAGUUGGAUUUCUGGUACGAUGCGCCCGGCCCGCCGCGGUUACGCGUGUGAGUGCUGGAGCGCGUCUGCCAUCCUUCUGGAAAACGUUUCUACCCUUCACUGGGCCGGACUCGCGAUCCAGAUCCUUUACUUUGAAAAAAUUAGAGUGUUCAAAGCAGGCUUACGCUGUGAAUACAUUAGCAUGGAAUAAUAACUUAGGACUUCGCGUUCUAUUUUGUUGGUUUCUAGGACUGAAGUAAUGAUUGAUAGGGAUAGUUGGGGGUGCUAGUAUUCAGCCGGCCAGAGGUGAAAUUCUGUGAUUCGCUGAAGACUAACUUAUGCGAAAGCAUUCACCAAGGAUGUCUUCUUUAAUCAAG
rnacentral:rRNA from 1 species